GGUUAACCCCCCCUACGAAAAUGUUGAAUAUUUCAGUAAAUGCCAUAUAUAUUGAAGCCUAUGGUCUUUAGUGUUGUUUUAAAAUUUCUAAACACAUUAAAAAUUUGUAUUAAUCUAUAUUAAACUCUCUUUCAUGGUACAUGAGCAUCGUUUUAAUUUUUUUCAAUUAAUUUAGUAAAACUUCAUAAUACUCCUUAAAUUGGUGGAUUAACCAAUAGAAAAUCGCUAUUCUUUACAAAACGGAGACAACAAAGGUUUCAAACCUCGUUUACCUUCAUCAUAUGUAAGUGAAGGAUGCAACUAUGUAUUAAAACAGUAUUUUCAUUUUUUUGAAUUUUUCUCAAAAUCUAUGGGUAACCCCUACGAAAAUAUUGAGUUUUUCAGUUAACGCCAUAUAUACUGAAGCCUAUGGUGUUUAGUGUUGUUUUAAAAUUCUAAACACAUUCUACAUUUGUAUUAAUCUAUAUUAAACUCUCUUUCAUGGUACAUGAGCAUCGUUUUAAUUUUUUUUCAUCUAAUUUAGUAAAACUUCAUAAUAUUCCUUAAAUUGGUGGACUAACCAAUAGAAAAUCGCUAUUCUCUAGAAAAACGAAGACAACAAUGGUUUCAAAUCUCGUUUACAUUCAUCAUAUGUAAGUUAAGGAUGCAACUAUGCAUUAAAGAAAUAUUUUCAUUUUUUUGAUUUUUUUUCAAAACCUAUGAAAAUAUUGAGUUUUUCGGUAAAUGCUCUAUAUACUGAAGCCUAUGAUCUUUAGUGUUGUUUUAAAAUUUCUAAACACAUUUUACAUUUGUAUUAAUGUAUAUUAAACUCUCUUUCAUGGUACAUGAGCAUCAUUUUAAUUUUUUUUCAGUUAAUUUAUUUAAACUUCAUAAUAUUCCUUAAAUUGGUGGACUAACCACUAGAAAAUCGUUAUUCUCUAGAAAAACGAAUACAACAAAGGUUCUAAACCUUUUUGAACUUCAUCAUAUGUUAGUGUAGGAUGCAAAUAUGCAUUAAAAAUUAUUUUUACUUUUUUUUAAUUUUUCUCAAAAUCUAUGGGUUAACACCACUACGAAAAUAUUGAGUUUUUGGGUAAAUACUCUAUAAACUGAAGCAUAUGAUCUUUAGUGUUGUUUUAAAAUUUCUAAACACACUUUACAUUUGAAUUAAUCUAUAUUAAACUCUCUUUCAUGGUACAUGAGCAUCGUUUUAAUUUUGUUUUCAAUUAAUUUAGUAAAACUUCAUAAUACUCCCUAAAUUGGUGGACUAACCAUUAGAAAAUCGCUAUUCUCUAGAAAAACGGAGACAACAAAGGUUCCAAACCUCUUUGACCUUCAUCAUUUGUUAGUAUAGGAUGCAAAUAUGCAUUAAAAAAUUAUUUUCAUAUUUUUGAAUUUUUUCUCAAAAUCUAUGGGUUAACCCCUACGAAAAUAUUGAAUUUUUCGGUAAAUGUCAUAUAUACUGAAAACUAUGAUCUUUAGUGUUGUUUCAAAAUUUCUAAAUACAUUCUACAUUUGUAUUAAUCUAUAUUAAACUCUAUUUCAUGGUCUAUGAGCAUUGUUUUAAUUUUUUUUUCAAUUAAUUUAGUAAAACUUCAUAAUACUCCCUAAAUUGGUGAACUAACCACUAGAAAAUUGUCAUUCUCUAGAAAAACGGAGAAAACAAAGGUUCUAAACCUUUUUGACCUUCAUCACAUGUUAGUGAAGGAUGCAGCUAUGUAUUAAAACAGUAUUUUCAUUUUUUUGAAUUUUUCUCAAAAUCUAUGGGUUAACCCCCUACGAAAAUAUUGAAUAUUUCAGUAAAUGCCAUAUAUAUUGAAGCCUAUAGUCUUUAGUGUUGUUUUAAAAUUUCUAAACAUAUUCAAAAUUUGUAUUAAUCUAUAUUAAACUCUCUUUCAUGGUACAUGAGCAUCGUUUUAUUUUUUUUUCAAUUAAUUUAGUAAAACUUCAUAAUACUCCUUCAAUUGGUGGACUAACCAAUAGAAAAUCGCUAUUCUUUACAAAACGGAGACAACAAAGGUUUCAAACCUCGUUUACCUUCAUCAUAUGUAAGUGAAUGAUGCAACUAUGUAUUAAAACAGUAUUUUCAUUUUUUUGAAUUUUCUCAAAAUCUAUGGGUUAACCCCUACGAAAAUAUUGAGUUUUUCAGUUAACGCCAUAUAUACUGAAGCCUAUGGUCUUUAGUGUUGUUUUAAAAUUCUAAACACAUUCUACAUUUGUAUUAAUCUAUAUUAAACUCUCUUUCAUGGUACAUGAGCAUCGUUUUAAUUUUUUUCAAUUAAUUUAGUAAAACUUCAUAAUAUUCCUUAAAUUGGUGGACUAACCAAUAGAAAAUUGCCAUUCUCUAAAAAAACGGAGACAACAAAGGUUUCAAAUCUCGUUUACAUUCAUCAUAUGUAAGUGAAGGAUGCAACUAUGCAUUAAAGAAAUAUUUUCAUUUUUUUGAUUUUUUUUCAAAACCUAUGAAAAUAUUGAGUUUUUUCGGUAAAUGCUCUAUAUACUAAAGCUUAUGAUCUUUACUGUUGUUUUAAAAUUUCUAAACACAUUCUACAUUUUUAUUAAUGUAUAUUAAACUCUCUUUCAUGGUACAUGAGCAUAUUUUUAAUUUUUUGUCAGUUAAUUUAUUAAAACUUCAUAAUAUUCCCUAAAUUGGUGGACUAACCACUAGAAAAUCGCUUUUCUCUAGAAAAACGAAUACAACAAAGGUUUUAAAACUCUUUGAACUUCAUCAUAUGUUAGUGUAGGAUGCAAAUAUGCAUUAAAAAUUAUUUUCAUUUUUUUUUAAUUUUUCUCAAAAUCUAUGGGUUAACACCACUACGAAAAUAUUGAGUUUUUGGGUAAAUACUCUAUAAACUGAAGCAUAUGAUCUUUAGUGUUGUUUUAAAAUUUCUAAACACAUUUUACAUUUGAAUUAAUCUAUAUUAAACUCUCUUUCAUGGUACAUGAGCAUCGUUUUAAUUUUGUUUUCAAUUAAUUUAGUAAAACUUCAUAUUUCUCCCUAAAUUGGUGGACUAACCAUUAGAAAAUCGCUAUUCUCUAGAAAAACCGAGACAACAAAGGUUCCAAACCUCUUUGACCUUCAUCAUUUGUUAGUGUAGGAUGCAAAUAUGCAUUAAAAAUUAUUUUCAUAUUUUUGAAUUUUCUCAAAAUCUAUGGGUUAACCCCUACGAAAAUAUUGAAUUUUUCGGUAAAUGCCAUAUAUACUGAAAACUAUGAUCUUUAGUGUUGUUUUAAAAUUUCUAAAUACAUUCUACAUUUGUAUUAAUCUAUAUUAAACUCUCUUUCAUGGUACAUGAGCAUUGUUUUAAUUUUUUUUUCAAUUAAUUUAGUAAAACUUCAUAAUACUCCUUAAAUUGGUGGACUAACCACUAGAAAAUUGUCAUUCUCUAGAAAAACGGAGACAACAAAGGUUCCAAACCUCUUUGACCUUCAUCACAUGUUAGUGAAGGAUGCAGCUACGUAUUAAAACAGUAUUUUCAUUUUUUUGAAUUUUUCUCAAAAUCUAUGGGUUAACCCCUACAAAAAUAUUGAGUUUUUCAGUUAACGCCAUAUAUACUGAAGCCUAUUGUCUUUAGUGUUGUUUUAAAAUUCUAAACACAUUCUAUAUUUGUAUUAAUCUACAUUAAACUCUCUUCCAUGGUACAUGAGCAUCGUUUUAAUUUUUUUCAAUUAAUUUAGUAAAACUUCAUAAUAUUCUUUAAAUUGGUGGACUAACCAAUAGAAAAUCGCCAUUCUCUAGAAAAACGGAGACAACAAAGGUUUCAAAUCUCGUUUACAUUCAUCAUAUGUAAGUGAAGGAUGCAACUAUGCAUUAAAGAAAUAUUUUCAUUUUUUUGAUUUUUUUUCAAAACCUAUGAAAAUAUUGAGUUUUUCGGUAAAUGCUCUAUAUACUGAAGCCUAUGAUCUUUAGUGUUGUUUUAAAAUUUCUAAACACAUUCUACAUUUGUCUUAAUGUAUACUAAACUCUCUUUCAUGGUACAUGAGCAUCGUUUUAAUGUUUUGUCAGUUAAUUUAUUAAAACUUCAUAAUAUUUCCUAAAUUGGUGGACUAACCACUAAAAAAUCGCUAUUCUCUAGAAAAACAAAGACAACAAGGGUUCUUAACCUCUUUGAACUUUAUCAUAUGUUAGUGUAGGAUGCAAUAUGCAUUAAAAAUUAUUUUCAUAUUUUUUUUAAUUUUUCUCAAAAUCUAUGGGUUAACACCACUACAAAAAUAUUGAGUUUUUGGGUAAAUGCUCUAUAAACUGAAGCAUAUGAUCUUUAGUGUUGUUUUAAAAUUUCUAAACAAAUUUUAAAUUUGAAUUAAUCUAUAUUAAACUCCCUUUCAUGGUACAUGAGCAUCGUUUUAAUUUUGUUUUCAAUUAAUUUAUUAAAACUUCAUAUUUCUCCCUAAAUUGAUGGACUAACCAUUAGAAAAUCGCUAUUCUCUAGAAAAACCGAGACAACAAAGGUUUCAAACCUCUUUGACCUUCAUCAUUUGUUAGUGUAGGAUGCAAAUAUGCAUUAAAAAAUUAUUUUCAUAUUUUUGAAUUUUUCUCAAAAUCUAUGGGUUAACCCCUACGAAAAUAUUGAAUUUUUCGGUAAAUGCCAUAUAUACUGAAAACUAUGAUCUUUAGUGUUGUUUUAAUAUUUCUAAAUACAUUCUACAUUUGUAUUAAUCUAUAUUAAACUCUCUUUCAUGUUACUUGAGCAUUGUUAUAAUUUUUUUUUCAAUUAAUUUAGUAAAACUUCAUAAUACUCCUUAAAUUGGUGGACUAACCACUAGAAAAUUGUCAUUCUCUAGAAAAACGGAGACAACAAAGGUUCCAAACCUCUUUGACCUUCAUCACAUGUUAGUGAAGGAUGCAGCUACGUAUUAAAACAGUAUUUUCAUUUUUUUGAAUUUUUCUCAAAAUCUAUGGGUUAACCCCUACAAAAAUAUUGAGUUUUUCAGUUAACGCCAUAUAUACUAAAGCCUAUGGUCUUUAGUGUUGUUUUAAAAUUCUAAACACAUUCUAUAUUUGUAUUAAUCUAAUAUUAAACUCUCUUCCAUGGUACAUGAGCAUCGUUUUAAUUUUUUUCAAUUAAUUUAGUAAAACUUCAUAAUAUUCUUUAAAUUGGUGGACUAACCAAUAGAAAAUCGCCAUUCUCUAGAAAAACGGAGACAACAAAGGUUUCAAAUCUCGUUUACAUUCAUCAUAUGUAAGUGAAGGAUGCAACUACGCAUUAAAGAAAUAUUUUCAUUUUUUUGAUUUUUUUCAAAACCUAUGAAAAUAUUGAGUUUUUCGGUAAAUGCUCUAUAUACUGAAGCCUAUGAUCUUUAGUGUUGUUUUAAAAUUUCUAAACACAUUCUACAUUUGUCUUAAUGUAUACUAAACUCUCUUUCAUGGUACAUGAGCAUCGUUUUAAUGUUUUGUCAGUUAAUUUAUUAAAACUUCAUAAUAUUCCCUAAAUUGGUGGACUAACCACUAGAAAAUUGCUAUUCUCUAGAAAAACAAAGACAACAAGGGUUCUAAACCUCUUUGAACUUCAUCAUAGGUUAGUGUAGGAUGCAAAUAUGCAUUAAAAAUUAUUUUCAUAUUUUUUAAUUUUUCUCAAAAUCUAUGGGUUAACACCACUACAAAAAUAUUGAGUUUUUGGGUAAAUACUCUAUAAACUGAAGCAUAUGAUCUUUAGUGUUGUUUUAAUCUAUAUUAAAAUCUCUUUCAUGGUACAUGAGCAUCGUUUUUUUUUUUUUCAAUUAAUUUAGUAAAACUUCAUAAUACUCCCUAAAUUGGUGGACUAACCAUUAGAAAAUCGUUAUUCUCUAGAAAAACGGAGACAACAAAGGUUCCAAACCUCUUUGGCCUUCAUCAUAUGUUAGUGAAAGAUGCAGCUAUGUAUUAAAACAGUAUUUUCAUUUUUUUGAAUUUUUCUCAAAAUCUAUGGGUUAACCCCUACGAAAAUAUUGAAUAUUUCAGUAAAUGCCAUAUAUAUUGAAGCCUAUGGUCUUUAGUGUUGUUUUAAAAUUUCUAAACACAUUCAGAAUUUGUAUUAAUCUAUAUUAAACUCUCUUUCAUGGUACAUGAGCAUCGUUUUAAUUUUGUUUCAAUUAAUUUAGUAAAACUUCAUAAUACUCAUUCAAUUGGUGGACUAACCAAUAGAAAAUCGCUAUUAUUUAGAAAAACGGAGACAACAAAGGUUUCAAACCUCGUUUACCUUCAUCAUAUGUAAGUGAAGGAUACAACUAUGUAUUAAAACAGUAUUUUCAUUUUUUUGAAUUUUUCUUAAAAUCUAUGGGUUAACCCCUACGAAAAUAUUGAGUUUUUCAGUUAACGCCAUAUAUACUGAAGCCUAUGGUCUUUAUUGUUGUUUUAAAAUUCUAAACACAUUCUACAUUUGUAUUAAUCUAUAUUAAACUCUCUUCCAUGGUACAUGAGCAUCGUUUUAAUUUUUUUCAAUUAAUUUAGUAAAACUUCAUAAUAUUCCUUAAAUUGGUGGACUAACCAAUAGAAAAUCGCCAUUCUCUAGAAAAACGGACACAACAAAGGUUUCAAAUCUCGUUUACAUUCAUCAUAUGAAAGUGAAGGAUGCAACUAUGCAUUAAAGAAAUAUUUUCAUUUUUUUGAUUUUUUUUUCAAAACCUAUGAAAAUAUUGAGUUUUUCGGUAAAUGCUCUAUAUACUGAAGCCUAUGAUCUUUAGUGUUGUUUUAAAAUUUCUAAACACAUUCUACAUUUGUAUUAAUGUAUAUUAAACUCUCUUUCAUGGUACAUGAGCAUCGUUUUAAUUUUUUGUCAGUUAAUUUAUUAAAACUUCAUAAUAUUCCCUAAAUUGGUGGACUAACCACUAGAAAAUCGCUAUUCUCUAGAAAAACAAAGACAACAAAGGUUCUAAACCUCUUUGAACUUCAUCAUAUGUUAGUGUAGGAUGCAAAUAUGCAUUAAAAUUAUUUUCAUUUUUUUUUAUUUUUUCUCAAAAUCUAUGGGUUAACACCACUACAAAAGUAUUGAGUUUUUGGGUAAAUUCUCUAUAAACUGAAGCAUAUGAUCUUUAGUGUUGUUUUAAAAUUUCUGAACACAUUUUACAUUUGUAUUAAUCUAUAUUAAACUCUCUUUCAUGGUACAUGAGCAUCAUUUUAAUUUUUUUUUCAAUUAAUUUAGUAAAACUUCAUAAUACUCCCUAAAUUGGUGGACUAACCAUUAGAAAAUCGCUAUUCUCUAGAAAAACGGAGACAACAACGGUUCCAAACCUCUUUGACCUUCAUCAUUUGUUAGUGUAGGAUGCAAAUAUGCAUUAAAAAAUUAUUUUCAUAUUUUUGAAUUUUUUCUCAAAAUCUAUGGGUUAACCCCUACGAAAAUAUUGAAUUUUUCGGAAAUGCCAUAUAUACUGAAAACUAUGAUCUUAAGUGUUGUUUUAAAAUUUCUAAAUACAUUCUACAUUUGUAUUAAUCUAUAUUAAACUCUCUUUCAUGGUACAUGAGCAUUGUUUUAAUUUGUUUUUUAAUUAAUUUAGUAAAACUUCAUAAUACUUCCUAAAUUGGUGAACUAACCACUAGAAAAUUGUCAUUCUCUAGAAAAACGGAGACAACAAAGGUUCCAAACCUCUUUGGCCUUCAUCAUAUGUUAGUAAAGGAUGCAGCUAUGUAUUAAAACAGUAUUUUCAUUUUUUUGAAUUUUUCUCAAAAUCUAUGGGUUAACCCCUACGAAAAUAUUGAAUUUUUCAGUAAAUGCCAUAUAUAUUGAAGCCAAUGGUCUUUAGUGUUGUUUUAAAAUUUCUAAACACAUUCAAAAUUUGUAUUAAUCUAUAUUAAACUCUCUUUCAUGGUAAAUGAGCAUCGUUUUAUUUUUUUUAAUUAAUUUAGUAAAACUUCAUAAUACUCCUUAAAUUGGUGGACUAACCAAUAGAAAAUCGCUAUUAUUUAGAAAAACGGAGACAACAAAGGUUUCAAACCUCGUUUACCUUCAUCAUAUGUAAGUGAAGGAUGCAACUAUGUAUUAAAACAGUAUUUUCAUUUUUUUGAAUUUUUCUUAAAAUCUAUGUGUUAACCCCUACGGAAAUAUUGAGUUUUUCAGUUAACGCCAUUUAUACUGAAGCCUAUGGUCUUUAGUCUUGUUUUAAAAUUCUAAACACAUUCUACAUUUGUAUUAAUCUAUAUUAAACUCUCUUUCAUGGUACAUGAGCAUCGUUUUAAUUUUUUUCAAUUAAUUUAGUAAAACUUCAUAAUAUUCCUUAAAUUGGUGGACUAACCAAUAGAAAAUCGCUAUUCUCUAGAAAAACGAAGACAACCAAGGUUUCAAAUCUCGUUUACAUUCAUCAUAUGUAAGUGAAGGAUGCAACUAUGCAUUAAAGAAAUAUUUUCAUUUUUUUGAUUUUUUUUCAAAACCUAUGAAAAUAUUGAGUUUUUCGGUAAAUGCUCUAUAUACUGAAGCCUAUGAUCUUUAGUGUUGUUUUAAAAUUUCUAAACACAUUCUACAUUUGUACUAAUGUAUAUUAAACUCUCAUUCAUGGUACAUGAGCAUCGUUUUAAUUUUUUGUCAGUUAAUUUAUUAAAACUUCAUAAUAUUCCCUAAAUUGGUGGACUAACCACUAGAAAAUCGCUAUUCUCUAAAAAAACGGAGACAACAAAGGUUCUAAACCUCUUUGAACUUCAUCAUAUGUUAGUGUAGGAUGCAAAUAUGCAUUAAAAAUUAUUUUAUAAUUUUUUUAAUGUUUCUCAAAAUCUAUGGGUUAACAACACUACAAAAAUAUUGAGUUUUUGGGUAAAUGCUCUAUAAACUGAAGCAUAUGAUCUUUAGUGUUGUUUUGAAAUUUCUAAACACAUUUUACAUUUGUAUUAAUCUAUAUUAAACUCUCUUUCAUGGUACAUGAGCAUCGUUUUAAUUUUUUUUUCAAUUAAUUUAGUAAAACUUCAUAAUACUCCCUAAAUUGGUGGACUAACCAUUAGAAAAUCGCUAUUCUCUAGAAACACGGAGACAACAAAGGUUCCAAACCUCUUUGACCUUCAUCAUUUGUUAGUGUAGGAUGCAAAUAUGCAUUAAAAAUUUAUUUUCAUAUUUUUGAAUUUUUUCUCAAAAUCUAUGGGUUAACCCCUACGAAAAUAUUGAAUUUUUCGGUAAAUGCCAUAUAUACUGAAAACUAUGAUCUUUAGUGUUGUUUUAAAAUUUCUAAAUACAUUCUACAUUUGUAUUAAUCUAUAUUAAACUCUCUUUCAUGGUGCAUGAGCAUUGUUUUAAUUUUUUUUUCAAUUAAUUUAGUAAACCUUCAUAAUAUUUCCUAAAUUGGUGAACUAACCACUAGAAAAUUGUCAUUCUCUAGAAAAACGGAGACAACAAAGGUUCCAAACCUCUUUGGCCUUCAUCAUAUGUUAGUGAAGGAUGCAGCUAUGUAUUAAAACAGUAUUUUCAUUUUUUUGAAUUUUUCUUAAAAUCUAUGGGUUAACCCCUACGAAAAUAUUGAAUAUUUCAGUAAAUGCCAUAUAUAUUGAAGCCUAUGGUCUUUAGUGUUGUUUUAAAAUUUCUAAACACAUUCAAAAUUUGUAUUAAUCUAUAUUAAACUCUCUUUCAUGGUAAAUGAGCAUCGUUUUAAUUUUUUUUAAUUAAUUUAGUAAAACUUCAUAAUACUCCUUAAAUUGGUGGACUAACCAAUAGAAAAUUGCUAUUAUUUAGAAAAACGGAGACAACAAAGGUUUCAAACCUCGUUUACCUUCAUCAUAUGUAAGUGAAGGAUGCAACUAUGUAUUAAAACAGUAUUUUUAUUUUUUUGAAUUUUUCUUAAAAUCUAUGGGUUAACACCUAUAGAAAUAUUGAGUUUUUCAGUUAACGCCAUAUAUACUGAAGCCUAUGGUCUUUAGUGUUGUUUUAAAAUUCUAUACACAUUCUACAUUUGUAUUAAUCUAUAUUAAACUCUCUUUCAUGGUACAUGAGCAUCGUUUUAAUUUUUUUUCAAUUAAUUUAGUAAAACUUCAUAAUAUUCCUUAAAUUGGUGGACUAACCAAUAGAAAAUCGCUAUUCUCUAGAAAAACGAAGACAACCAAGGUUUCAAAUCUCGUUUACAUUCAUCAUAUGUAAGUGAAUGAUGCAGCUAUGCAUUAAAG
rnacentral:lncRNA from 1 species